rnacentral:tRNA from 1 species
UUCCUGGUGGCUCAGAUGGUAAAGCGCCUGUCUGCAAUGCGGGAGACCUGGGUUUGAUUCCUGGGUUGGGAA